CAAACACACUACAAUUGUUGCAUAAGAAAUCAAAGGAAAACAGAGCCAUAACUAUAGACAGGUCUCAAAAUGAUGUGGGCCAAAUUUGGUGAAGAUUGGACAAAACUUAGGCAGUUGGAUGCAUGCAUUUUUAACUUGUUAUUGUAGCUUUUGCGCAGUAAGUGGCACUGGACUCUGUUCAUAGUCCUGAAGACAUUUACCAAGUUUUGUGUCAGUGCGUAAAGCCAUUGCUGAGAUACAGUCUCACAUCCUGUUUUUAUGGCUUCGCUAUCAGAUUUGUCGGCCCAUUACGGGCAAAGUAUGGAGGCUUAAUGCUGUGGAAGGACUUGAAGCCCACCUUCCAACAUCCCAGUGUUGAAGCUGUUCUGUUCUGAGGAAUGGGCUAAAAUGAAACCCACCAACAUCCCAAUGUUGAAGCUGUUCUGUUCUGAGGAAUGGGCUAAAAUUCCUCCAAGCCAAUGUGCAGGACUGAUCAACAGUUACCGGAAAUGUUUAGUUGCAGUUAUUGCUGCACAAGGAGGUCACAGCAGAUACUGAAAGCAAGGUUUGACAUACGUUUGUCACUCACAGAUAUGCAAUAUUGGAUUAUUUUCCUCAACAAAUAAAUGAUCAAGUAUAA